rnacentral:rRNA from 1 species
CAGCAGCCGCGGUAAUUCCAGCUCCAAUAGCGUAUAUUAAAGUUGUUGCAGUUAAAAAGCUCGUAGUUGAAUUUCGGGGUUAGUAGGUUGGUCGUGCCUCUGGUAUGUACUGGUUUUACUGAUUCCUCCCUUUUGAAGAACUGUAAUGUCAUUAAUUUGGUGUUGCGGGAAAACAGGACUGUUACUUUGAAA